rnacentral:misc_RNA from 1 species
CUUCGCUACGUAGGCCGUAGCCGUAUCUCUUUCUCGGUCUGUCUGUGGCCCGCGCCUCGUCGAAUCGUUUUCCGUUUUGUAUCGCUCAUUGCGUAGCACUUGUAUCGACCCACCGUUCACCUUCUCUCUCCUCUCUCUCCUCCCUCCCUCCCUCUCGGCAGCUCGUGAGCGUCGACACGCGUUGCCGUGCCCGCGCAAGUGUUUGUGUGUGUGUGUGUGUGCAUGCCACGCCCGCACUGUGUUCCUGUUACUUGAUACUAGUGCUUUCUGUCGCUGCCGUUAUUCUUCCUCGCUUUCUUUUUCUCUUGUUCCCUCUGUUGGCCUCUUCUCCCUUUUCAAGAGACAUGCCGCCGUCUCAGCCUCCGAUCGAGGGCGGUGCCAACCGCAUCAUCAUCGUUGGCGGCGGCCUCGCCGGCGUCUGCGCAGCGCACUCAAUUUUGCAGCACGGUGGCAGCGUACUGCUGCUCGACAAGUCCGCGUUUCUCGGCGGUAACAGCACCAAGGCGUCUAGUGGGAUCGCCGGCACGCCGACGCAGGCGCAGAUCGACUCCGGCGUGCUCGAUGGCGUGAAGCUGUUCACGGAGGACACAAACCGCAGCUUUCAUGGCGUGCAAGCGGGCGAGAAGCCCGGCCCCGUCUCGCCACUCGUGUCGGAGAUGGCGCGUCUGUCCGGUCCGUCGCUGGACUGGCUUGUCCGAUACUUCAACUGCGACCUGUCGAAGCUCGGCUUCAUGGGCGGCCAUAGCCGUCCCCGCACCCACCGCGGCAAGGAGAGGUUCCCUGGCAUGGCUAUCACGUACGCGCUGAUCAGUGCGCUGGAGGCGGUGCAGAAGGUAGACCCCGCAAGGGCCCGCAUCUUGACGAAGGCACGGGUGGUGCGCCUAGUGCGCCACCCGCUGGAUGGACCGGUCACCGGUGUCGUCUUUCAGGACCGCGAAGGUAACCAGCAUAUGGAGCGGGGUGCCGUGGUGAUCGCGACCGGCGGCUUUGCGGCAGACUUCGCCCAGGACGACUCGUCGCUCAUCGCCCGGUUUGCCCCGCAGCUGACCAAGUUUUCCACGACGAACGCCGAUCACGCGACCGGCGACGGCAUCAAGAUCGCUGAGCAAGCUGGCGCCGGUCUUGUCGAUAUGGACCGCAUUCAGGUGCACCCGUCCGGCCUCGUCGACCCGCGCGACCCUAACAACCACGUCAAGUUCCUGUGCGCCGAGGCGACGCGCGGAGCCGGUGGCAUCGUGGUCGACAGGCACGGGCAGCGCUUCGUGGACGAGCUGGCGCGCCGCGAUCAGGUCAGCGCCGCCAUGCUGAAGCACGACGGCGCCAGCCCCUUUUAUCUUCUGCUGAACGAGAAGAGCGCCAGGGAAAUGGAGUGGCACUGCAAGCACUACGUGGGCCGUGGCCUCAUGAAGCGCUACGCCAGUGGCCACGAGUUCUGUAAGGCUACCAGGAUAAAGACCGAGGCCCUGGCGGCGACGUAUGCGCAGUACAAGAAGGAUGCCGCGGUCAACGCCGCCUCGCGCGGUGCCGACUCCGGCGCCGCAGGAGCCGCGAAGCGAGGCUUUUUUUCCUCUCUCUUUGGCCUUGGCGAGAAGCGAGUGGCGGCGGGCACUGCGGUAGCCAAGGACAGCAGCCGCGGCACCCCCGACCAGUUUGGCAAGACGGUAUUCCGCAACGUGGACGCCUUCAGCAUGGAGGGCCCGCUCUACGUCGCGUGGAUCGCGCCUGUUGUGCACUACACGAUGGGUGGCUUGCACGUCAACGAGCGCGCCGAGGUGCUAGACGCGAAGACGAAGAAGCCGAUUCCUGGCCUGUACUGCGCCGGCGAGGCCGCUGGCGGCGUGCACGGCAAGAACCGGCUCGGCGGCAACUCGCUGCUGGACUGUGUCGUGUACGGCCGCGUGGCUGGCGAGGCGGCGACCAAGUACCUAUUCGCCACAUACAUGGGGCCCUUCUCGAACAACCGCCUGAACACAAUCUACUCGCACCUCGCCAUCGAGGACCUGCCGCUGGUUCCGAAGGCAGCCGCCCCCGCCAAGCCGGCAGAGGCGCCAGCCGACAGCAAGGAAGCUUCUGCUUGCAGCGACGCUUCCCCGGCGACCGCCGUGGAUGGGGAGAGCAAGGGCUUGAAGCGCUACACUCGCGCGGAGGUGGCGAAGCACAACAAGGAGUCGGACUGCUGGUGCAUCGUGCGCGGCCUGGUGCUGAAUCUGACUGAAUUCCUGCCGGAUCACCCAGGCGGCAAGCAGUCGGUGCUGAUGUACGCCGGCAGCGAUGCGACCAAGGAGUUUGACCUGGUGCAUCAGCCGGAGGUGAUCGACAAGUAUACGCCGGACGCCAUCAUUGGUGUUGUGUCGGACUAGACGUCAGCCCUGUCCCCUCACCUCCACAUGCGUGCGAGGGGCAGGGAGAAGGAGGGAGGGAGCGAGCGACGGCGAGGUGUGUGUGUGUGUGUGGCACAGGUGCUCAACGAAGAGAAAGAGGCGGGCAAGGAGAUGACAGGGACACCACCACCCCGAACGCACCGUGUGUCCGCGCGCCUCCAGCACCACCGCUCCCCAUGGGCCCCUCCCCCUUCUACAACGUCCCUGAAUCGCUUCCAGCAUGCUCUGCAUGCGUUGUGUUUUGUUUUGUGUCUGUCCCCUCCCUCUCUCCUUCCCAAGCACAUGCACAUCUUAUACACUUAGUUCAUACAUUAUAAUAUGCACAUACCUAUCUAUCUAUAUAGAUGUACGCCAUGCUCUUUAACGCUUCGCCGUGUGUUGUGCAUCUCUCAGCAGAAGCCCCCUCCCUUCCCCUCCCCCCAUUAUAUCCUUAUCCAGUCCUCCCUCCCUCCUUACUGCACAUGGCGACAUGAUAUAGUAACGGCCAAACGAGCCUAGAGGAGGAGGGGUGACGAUCACAACGUACGAAGAAGCGAGAGGCUGAGGGGUGCUCUGCUGAUAGAGACGCGGACUUGUGAACGCGUGCGCACCGGCACGCUGGCCUCCGCCUCCGCCUCCCACCCCACUCUCUUCCUCGAUAGGCGCACCUGUCACCAAAUUCUUACAAAACUCGGAUCCCACAUGCGAGUGGGGUCUAUGGCAUGCACGUUCUUGCUGUCGCGUGGGGACAUCAGGUCCAACGCGUGCGCCACGGCAGCUGGCGUCCCUCGCCUCCCUCCAGGGGCGCGCCCCUUCGGUGAGCUUCGCGCUCUGUCCCUUCGCUUCGUUCGAGGUGCUCUGUUUUCGUCGUCACGUUACGAACGCCCCCGCCCUCCAAGGAGAAACGGACAAGAAGGCUAACCCAUAAAACGUCGAAGCAGCAGCGGCAGCCGCCCGCACAAGUGCGGCGCAUCCAGACACGCACCCACUCACCAGAGGGCACGUCAAGAGAUUCUGGGGUUGAGCGAGUGCGUUGACGUGCACGUGUGUAGGCGGGCCAGGUGCUUCGCGUUGUCUUGCUUGGUCUUGUUCUUUCCGCCUUUUCCUACUCCUUGUGCCACUUUUCUGGAGCGUGCGUGCCUAUCCUUGUUCUUUUUCCGCCAUCCUAGGGAGUCGAGCCGUAGGGAGGCCUGCGCGGUUCUAAAUGUGUGGGGCGAUGCCUUUUCAUCAGCCGGGUCUCUCGACGGCACCAGAGGAGUUCGAGGAGAAGCGACUCGAUGUGCACUGUCCCACUCCCCCACCUGUGUUGCUUAUACAUAUAUGUGUGUUCCCUCAUGCAUGUUUUUGUCUAAGGCACAAGUGUGCAGAGGGGAGAGCGUGCUGCAAAACUUGU